CCAGCAAACCUUUCCCUGCUGUGAGGUGGGCAAGUUAGUUGCUCCAAAAACAAGAUAAAAUGAUUGAGUUCUUUUCUCAAGCGGGAGUCGGAGUUUAUCUGCUCUGAGAGCCCCAGCAGCUACUAUUAAUGAGUGUCUGGAAUAUGUUCCUGGCAUUUCACCUACCCUCUCUCCAAUCCUUCCAAGAAACUCACAAAGCAGGGCUUUUUCUUGAACUUCUCUUCCUCACAACAGUUAAAUCAUCCAUUUAAAGAUGUCAAACAACCUCCGUGUUCUAAGCCAGACCAUCAACUUAACUUGUAAAACUACCAACUGUUGCUACACACAGGCAAAGGAAUUAAACUUGGUAGCUGAUCAUUUGAUUACAUCUAUCAGUCUACUGGAGGGCUUCAACGCAGAGUAGGUGGAAUUCAUGGUUCAAAUCAGAGUAUUAAUGGGAUCUGUUUGCACACCAAUACCUGAUCUCCUUGGCACAAAUACAGAGCUGAUUCUUAAAGCAUGUCCCCACAAUAAAGCUUUUCUUAAUCAUGAACUAUUUACUGAGCUCUACGGAGACACAGCUACAAGCACCAGAUGCUGGACCCCUGAAUAUGGAGGGCCAACUACACUAGAAACACACACGCUAGCUGAGAAAGAUGGUGGCUUAAGGGUAAGCAUGGAAAGAGGCAAGGAGGUGAGGACAGCAGGACUGAUAGAUAAGCUGGGGAGGCCAGAGCUCCACAAGGACAUCCAUUUCACUUAUCAGAAUCUAAAAAUAAACACGUUGAGAUACUAGAGAGAUCACCAGUUUGUAGUAGAGGCCCACUCUCGGAAGGUUUGGUAAAAAGUUGUUUUGAAUCAUAAUGUUGGCUUUAUUGGCAUGUUGAAACCAUUUACCUCUGUAAUUUUCCAUUUGUUUUCCUUUCCAACUACCACUCCUCCUGCCUGAUAAAUAAAUACCAUUGCAAGAUUGGACACAGCAUGUACAACCUCACAUAGAGUUCCUGACCAGACAAGACUUGCUGGAAAUUUCCCAGGAUCUUCCUUCCUUAAGAUGUCUCUGUGUUAGGAAAACUUGGAUAAGCAGGUCCAUAGAAAUUCCUCUGCUAGCCCUGUCUCCUGGAAUUUCUACAUAAUGGCAUAUCCUCAGUUUGAAUAGCUCUCUGGUUCCAGUUUGAAGCUGAAAAGGUUAAAUUCUACCUGAAGGAUGAAAACAACCAACAUUCUGUGCCAAGACAGUCAGGAGGGCAACCAUGUUUCCUGGUGGAGCCUCUGGAACCACUCAAGCCAAGAUGACCGGGGGUUUGGCUGGGAGGAGAUGGGGAAACUACAGACCCUACAGAUGGUUUCCUGUACCAUGAGGUUAAGCCUGGGGGCAGGAGAGGCUGUACCUUAGUUCCUUCAUCUGUAAAAUAAAGUAACAUAGUACCUACCUC
rnacentral:lncRNA from 1 species